AAUCGCGGUGCGUCUCGCUCGUUUGUCCAGUCGAUGGGCGGACUUUCGGACGUGUUAGGACAUAUGAAGACGCUGAGUAAUAUGUCGGAUGCACUGCGCAGUGGCGCCAUGGCUUGGGGCAAAGAAGACGAACACAAA
rnacentral:ribozyme from 1 species